ACUGCUCAGUAACACGUGGAUAACCUGCCGUGCGGUGGGAAAUAACCCCGGGAAACUGGGGAUAAUGUCCCAUAGGCUACGGAUGCUGGAAUGCUCUGUAGCUCAAAGAUUUAUCGCCACAGGAUGGGUCUGCGGCCGAUUAGGUAGUUGUUGGGGUAACGGCCCAACAAGCCUUUGAUCGGUACGGGUUGUGGGAGCAAGAGCCCGGAGAUGGAUUCUGAGACACGAAUCCAGGCCCUACGGGGCGCAGCAGGCGCGAAAACUUUACAAUGCGGGAAACCGUGAUAAGGGAACUCCGAGUGUCCGUCAAUGCGGACUGUCCGUAUGUUUAAAAAGCAUGCGAAGAAAGGGCCGGGCAAGACCGGUGCCAGCCGCCGCGGUAAUACCGGCGGCUCGAGUGGUGGCCACUAUUACUGGGCUUAAAGCGUUCAUAGCUGGGUUGUUAAGUCUCUUGGGAAAUCUAUCGGCUUAACCGAUAGGCGUCCAAGGGAUACUGGCAAUCUAGGGACCGGGAGAGGUGAGGGGUACUUCAGGGGUAGGAGUGAAAUCCUGUAAUCCUUGGGGGACCACCUGUGGCGUAGGCGCCUCACCAGAACGGCUCCGACAGUGAGGGACGAAAGCUGGGGGAGCAAACCGGAUUAGAUACCCGGGUAGUCCCAGCCGUAAACGAUGCGCGUUAGGUGUAUCGAUGACCACGAGUCAUCGAGGUGCCGAAGGGAAACCGUGAAACGCGCCACCUGGGAAGUACGGCCGCAAGGCUGAAACUUAAAGGAAUUGGCGGGGGAGCAC
rnacentral:rRNA from 1 species